AUUGAACGCUGGCGGAAUGCUUUACACAUGCAAGUCGAACGAUGAGAAAGAGCUUGCUCUUUCGAUUAGUGGCGGACGGGUGCGUAACGCGUAGGAAUCUACCUAUUAGUGGGGGACAACUUAGGGAAACUUAAGCUAAUACCGCAUACGCCCUACGGGGGAAAGAAGGGGAUCGCAAGACCUUUUGCUAAUAGAUGAGCCUGCGUAGGGUUAGCUAGUUGGUGGGGUAAAAGCUCACCAAGGCGACGAUCCUUAACUGGUUUGAGAGAAUGAGCAGUCACGCUGGAACUGAGACACGGUCCAGACUCCGACGGGAGACAGCAGUGGGGAAUAUUGGACGAUGGGCGAAAGCCUGAUCCAGCAAUACCGCGUGUGUGAAGAAGGCCUUAGGGUUGUAAAGCACUUUCAAUUGGAAGGAAAGCCUCGAAGCUAAUACCGUCGAGUUUGACAUUACCUUUAGAAGAAGCACCGGCUAACUCCGUGCCAGCCGCCGCCGUAA
rnacentral:rRNA from 1 species